AGAGUUUGAUCCUGGCUCAGGAUGAACGCUAGCGGCAGGCUUAACACAUGCAAGUCGAGGGGUAUAGAGAGCUUGCUUUCUAGAGACCGGCGCACGGGUGCGUAACGCGUAUGCAAUCUACCUUUCACAAAGGGAUAGCCCAGAGAAAUUUGGAUUAAUACCUUAUAGUAUUACAGAAUGGCAUCAUUUUGUAAUUAAAGAUUUAUCGGUGAAAGAUGAGCAUGCGUCCCAUUAGUUAGUUGGUAAGGUAACGGCUUACCAAGACUACGAUGGGUAGGGGUCCUGAGAGGGAGAUCCCCCACACUGGUACUGAGACACGGACCAGACUCCUACGGGAGGCAGCAGUGAGGAAUAUUGGACAAUGGGCGCAAGCCUGAUCCAGCCAUGCCGCGUGCAGGAUGACGGUCCUAUGGAUUGUAAACUGCUUUUGUACAGGAAGAAACACUGGUUCGUGAACCAGCUUGACGGUACUGUAAGAAUAAGGAUCGGCUAACUCCGUGCCAGCAGCCGCGGUAAUACGGAGGAUCCAAGCGUUAUCCGGAAUCAUUGGGUUUAAAGGGUCCGUAGGCGGUUUAGUAAGUCAGUGGUGAAAGCCCAUCGCUCAACGGUGGAACGGCCAUUGAUACUGCUAGACUUGAAUUAUUAGGAAGUAACUAGAAUAUGUAGUGUAGCGGUGAAAUGCUUAGAGAUUACAUGGAAUACCAAUUGCGAAGGCAGGUUACUACUAAUGGAUUGACGCUGAUGGACGAAAGCGUGGGUAGCGAACAGGAUUAGAUACCCUGGUAGUCCACGCCGUAAACGAUGGAUACUAGCUGUUGGGGGCAACUUCAGUGGCUAAGCGAAAGUGAUAAGUAUCCCACCUGGGGAGUACGUUCGCAAGAAUGAAACUCAAAGGAAUUGACGGGGGCCCGCACAAGCGGU
rnacentral:rRNA from 1 species